AUACGGAGGGUGCAAGCGUUGUCCGGAUUUAUUGGGUUUAAAGGGUGUGUAGGCGGUGUAUUAAGUCAGUGGUGAAAGCCUGCGGCUCAACCGUAGAACUGCCAUUGAUACUGACACACUUGGGUAUGGACGAGGUAGGCGGAAUUUAUGGUGUAGCGGUGAAAUGCAUAGAUACCAUAAAGAACACCGAUAGCGAAGGCAGCUUACUAGGCCAUAACUGACGCUGAGGCACGAAAGCGUGGGGAGCGAACAGGAUUAGAAACCCCAGUAGUCC
rnacentral:rRNA from 1 species